rnacentral:rRNA from 1 species
AACGAACGCUGGCGGCAUGCCUAACACAUGCGAGUCGAACGAGACCUUCGGGUCUAGUGGCGCACGGGUGCGUAACGCGUGGGAGCCUGCCCUUAGGUUCGGAAUAACUCCCCGAAAGGGGUGCUAAUACCGGAUAAUGUCUUCGGACCAAAGAUUUAUCGCCUUUGGAUGGGCCCGCGUUGGAUUAGCUAGUUGGUAGGGUAAAAGCCUACCAAGGCGACGAUCCAUAGCUGGUCUGAGAGGAUGAUCAGCCACACUGGGACUGAGACACGGCCCAGACUCCUACGGGAGGCAGCAGUGGGGAAUAUUGGACAAUGGGCGAAAGCCUGAUCCAGCAAUGCCGCGUGAGUGAUGAAGGCCUUAGGGUUGUAAAGCUCUUUUACCCGGGAUGAUAAUGACAGUACCGGGAGAAUAAGCUCCGGCUAACUCCGUG